rnacentral:sRNA from 1 species
UUUUAGCCCAGAUAGCAAUGGAAAGCCCGGAGUGCAAAAAAUUAAUUUUUCUUGUCCUAAAAGAGCGACCAGCGGAAGCUCCUUUUAGGGCUUAGAAAAAUAGUUUUUUGAACGAGGACCUGUAAUGGAUAGCUGGAUUAGCU